CUCAGCGCUGUCCCUGCAGCCUCCGCCACGGCGGCCAGCAGUGCCCACGCCAAGACGGGCAGCCAAGGACAGCAGCACGCAGACGGACAAAGCGGAGCUCUUCUGGCCCAGCGUGGCCUCCCUCCACCCGAGCCGGCUGAGCACGGCCCUUCCAACAGCCCUGUCCUGAAACAGCGGCCAAAGGGACCGCGGAGAAACUGGAGAACUCUCCUGGCCACGGGAAGUCACCUGACCACAGAGGCCGCGUCAGCAGCUUGCUGCACAAGCCCGAGUUCCCGGAUGGAGAGAUGAUGGAAGUUCUCAUCUAAUGGCACCGUCCCUGCGGAACUUCACAACAGAACAUUAACAAACAAGGAAAGUGGCAGAGAAGGAGAAGAAAGAUCGAGAAGGUUGUGGAUGAGAAAUCAGGAAUGAUUUGAAAUGAUAAAGAUUUCAGAUUAGUUAAGAACACUUUUUAUGAAUGUUAAAAACAAAAACAGCAGACCUACAUGACUGAAGAUGGAAGAGAAUGCUAUGGAUUUUUAUUAUAUAUGGUGGGAGAGAGAAGAUUCAUGUAGGUUUGGAAACAAAAGUUAAGAAGAAAUAGGAAAUGGAAUUUUUCAUUGUACAGAAAAUGUAUCUCUUGGGGAGGUUCUGUGUACCCCCAUUCUCUGGUUAUAAACAGAUAAAUCCGAACAUGGAUCUUCCUUGAAAUACUCCCAUUCUCCUUGCCUCUUAGCAUGUUUGGUUUAGAAAGAACCUCUAGAAAUCUUUAGAGCCCAUCUUGGCAUAAUGCAGUAUAACCUGUGCCAUCUGUGGGGUGUCCUGGAAGUGUGUGUGGGUGUGGCAGUGGGGAGAAAUGUCCAGGGGUGAUGGGGAAUUUGCAAGGUGGCCUUCGCCUGACCACCUGUUUGGCUUGGAUUUUUAGGAGAUUAUGGGGCUUCUUAGGGUUUCUGGAUUCUGCAUUAUUUCUAAACAGGAUGGAAGCGUUAUGAUCUUAGUCCUUAUCCUCCCUGACUUCUCUGAGUUCAUCUCUGUCUCUACUUUAUUCUCUUUAAUUUUAAAUUAACUUUUUUUGUUCCUUCUAUUUAUUUCUUUUUAAUAAACAUGGCAGCCUUCCUUAGGUGUGGGGUUUAUGAGAGUGUUAUCUGAACUGUCAGUGUUCCUACUGUGUUUAUAGUGGCCAGUAGGACAAAGCCACACGCUGGCUUCCUGGCUACUUCUUCCAUCUUUGUAUAGUUGGGCUGCAGCUGUUAAUCUCAUUCUGACUGUGAGCCAGGUGAGCUUUGAGGAGGCGGAAGAUUCCUUGGGUCACUGUGACUUCUUGCAUUAAGAUCAUGGCACUGGCUUUUUUCUGUCUCACAUCAGCUUUCUUCCAAGGAGCUUGAUGUUUCCACCCCAUGGCUCUGUUGGGGAAGAUUUUCAGGACAGCACUCCAGGAAACAGAUGACAGUUUACAAACAGUUGUCUUGGUGGCAUCCAGCAUCUCACCAGGCACCCUUGUACCACUGUCUUGUCAGGUGGCUCACAAGCAUGCUGGCCACUCCUGCCCCAUUACACUCCUCUGGUUACUGCUGAUGAGCCUGCAGACUUCCAUGGCAUCAGUGUGUCUGUCGUGAACUUGCCUUGUAACCUAACAGGCUCGUAUAUAUACAUUGUGGUCAGGUUUUUCAAGAUUUCAGUUCUGGUGCAACUUAUACAACAAAGUGAGGCAGAAAUGCCGUGGAAAAGAGCCAGGAAUGAGUUAGGUAGCGGGCCUCUUGUACCUUUGCUGUGACAUUUCACAUACAACCCUUCAGAUGUUGGUUUCCUUUACAAAUCUAGGACUUGGUGGAUUAGAAAAGAAAAGCUAAUCAGGGCCCUGGUAUUUUUCUCCCUCCGGGUCAGCUGGGUCUGUGUAUCUAUGUUUUCCCUUUCCUCCUGCUUUCUUAGGGGGAAAAUAAAAGCCCCAGGUCUGAGACUUUUCCAAGUACUUCUCAAGUGAAACACUAAAGACAGCGCCCUUGGGAAACUUUGCUCAGGUAGCUUAUUUUAAGACUGGUUUUGGAGUGGAACCUGAGCACAGUUACGGCCUCCCCAGACUGAGGGACUGAGGUGACAGAGGGAGGACAAGAGGUGUAGGCUGGAGAAGGUAGGAGGAAAUGGCAGGCUUUGGCCAGACAGGCAUCUGAGCCAUCCCAUGUGGCGGAGUCGGUGGGACCGGCCCUCUCCAGCUCUGUGCUUGGUGCAGCCUCCUCCAGUCUCACGCCGCGAGCAUCAAAGUAGCGCUGCGCAGAUGGGGAAACUGAGGCGGCUCCGAGGGGCUGAGCGAUGAGCCUGCCCCAUGCCCUGGAGUGUGGGAAGAGGGCACGGGAAGGCUUGUCAGUGUGGACGGUUGAGUGCAGCUGUGGGUGGGGAGGUGGCAGAGGGGUCCCAUGCCAACCUCUGCUCCCCAUCACUUGUCAUGGGGAUCAGGUUCAAGUGAUGGCAGCCAACUCUCUCAAGGACAUUUUGAACCCAAUUUAUGUUGGGGAUGGACCAGAAAGGAAAGUGUCCAGAGACAGAAAGGUAAGUCAACUCCGCCAGCCGCCACUGCCGCAUCUGGGCCUCCCCAAACUUGGGCUGUCUCCCCAGACAUGGGUAAGAGCAAGAGCCCCAGCCAGCUUCUCCUGAAGUCUGGCCUUCAUGCCCAGACACCUCUUGGGCACACUCAGGCACGUGCUCGCCUGCUCUUCUCGGCCCCCCGGAACUGCCAAGUGUUUCAGUUGUCAGACUACAAACGGACACGUCACCAUUUUUCAGGGCCUCAACUGUGCUGUGCUGUGGCCUUUUGUGGAUAUUUUUUUCUCUUAACCUACCAAGACUCUUCCUUGAGAAAAGGAUCUAUAGCUUUAAAGUGUCUUCUCUUAAAGGGAGAUUUGCUGCCAAUCCAGGGCCCUCAACACUCAUCGUCAGAGCUUUCCUGAGGCCCAGCUUAUACGUAGGAAGAAGGGACUGCAUAUAUGGAGUGCCCGCUCUGAGUUCUGGGCAGUGUAUAAUACCUCAUCACAUUUGAUUUUCAGAAAAAUAAUGCCAGCUAUAUUUCCUAGUGCCAACUGUAUGUGAGCACUGUGGUAAAAACCUCUUAAUUAGUCCUCAAGCCACCUGGGGUGUGGAGGGCAAACUGGGGCUCAGGGAGGUUAAGUCCCUUCCUGAAGCCUCACAGCCAGGAGAAGCUGGGGAUUAAUACAAGGGUUUGCAAGGGGAGCUGGGCCAGCCCCUGGCUGUACAGCCUCUAACGCGAGGUGCCACAUCCUGGCCCUCUCCGUCCCCCAUCUGUGACGUGUGUGCACAUGCACACACACACGUGCAUUCACCCCUGCACGCACACAGCUGUCACGCCUCUUAGGGCCUAAGAAAUAGGACUAACCCCAGAACUCCUAGAAUUGCCUGUAAACACCGGGCAUAGCUGGAAAUCAUGGUGUUCCAUUGUAAGCACGGCUACAAAAUACACCUAAAAAACAGCUCUGCAUUCAUUGUCCAGAGGCCUAGACUUCUUCAAACCUUCCAGUAAAUUCUGAUUAUGGAAGUUGAGGGUCUUGGCUCAGGGUGAAGGGUCUUGGCUUGGGUUUCGUGUGAAGGCAUGCCAGGGUAUCCUUGAAGGUGCUAGCUGGCAGCUUCUGUGUGCUGCCUGCGUACUAUGUGGAAUUUGAGAAGUUGAAGUCUAGUCUGAUGCUAGAGUUUCACGCAGUAGAUGGUUCUGUACAGAAGAACUACUGCUGUCUGCAGGCCCAUACAGCUAAGCUGCCAGGAAAAAAAACAUUACUUUCCAAAAUUGUCAGAGCAUGUGCAGGAGACUUUCUUAGCAUUCUCUUCUUUCAGUAUUUUUUCUGUUUCCCAGAUGCUGGCAGCCAGUGACAGUAUGGAGUUGGGGGUGUUCUAACUGAGCAUGCAGGCCAGGGCUUUGGUUGGGAGGGCAGGGAGUGAUGGGUCCCUUCUGGCUUCAGUCCUGCGCUGGUUGCUCUUUGGAACUCAUGUAGGAGCUUGACUUCACGAGGCUUGGAGUGGAUACCGAGACAGUUGCAUCAGUUGAGUUCUGAACUUGGAACAGAAAAUUCAGUGGUUCCUUUGCUCAGGGAGGAGGCUCUGAGAAUGUCCCUUGCAUCUCUGCCAUCUCUACUGUCUUCCCAGCCAGUCUUCACUCCUCCCUGUUCUCACCUGGUUUGCAUCCUCAUCAUGCAGUGGCUGAGACUCCUUCAUGCCAAGUGCUGAUGGAGUGGGAAAUCCUCCCUCCCCGGCAGCUUCUCAGUCCUAGAGACUUACGUGAGCACAGACAUCAGGUGAGUCUGGGGGACAGUGGGGGACAGUGAAGAAGAGGUUGGGAGGUUGCAAGGUUUCGAGGCAGGGAGUUCACACUUAGAGUGAAGGGAACUGUGCUCAGUAAAGAGAUGUGUUUUCCAAAGCCAAAGUCUUGCCCCACGUCCACACCGGAGCAAGUGGAGCAUGUUUCUAGGUAUUCUCUGAGUGAUUCUGCUCUCCAAAGCAAAGAACUACCUUGGCCAUAGUAAGUGGCGUCCCACAGAUGUUCUUAAGCGGCAAAGGCUUUAAGUAGCCAGAGAGUGUCCAGCCCACGAUUGACAUCCCCACAUCCCAAAAGGCUGAGGCUGCCAUGGUACAGGCUUUAUAAAGGUUGGUUUUUCUUUUCUUUUUGUUAAUUAAGUAAUGUAUUUAAAAUGUCUUCAUUCGAUGUGAGGAUUGUUUAAUGGGUUUGCUUCUGAUGUGUGGCUCCAUGGGAGAUGGGCAGAGUAAUUAAGAAGUUACCAGAAGCAGGUCAGCUGGGAACAUGCACAGGUUAGCAUUUCUGUAAGUGAAUUUCUUCUGGAACAAAUGAGCAAUUUUUUUCUCUUUCUUGUAGGUAGUAUACCCUUUUCCCAUUUAGUAAUUUAAUGGCCUAUAAAGACAUGUGUACAUGUAAGUGUAUGCAUAUGAGGUAUGACUAGAAGGUUAUGUGUGGGAUUUCUUUUCUUAAUAUACAGAAGAUACAAGUGUUUCAUCUCACCCCACCUUCCUUAAAAGGCAUCCCUUUGGGACAUUGUAUACUGAUUCACUGCAGUGCUGCCAAAGUAAAAAUAUUUUGUGAACUCCUCUAUUAGAAUGGCCUUCGGUGCCAGGCACAUUGCUUUGAUUCUCCUUAAAGAUGAGAAAUCUUCAUCCUUUGAGGAUGGAUUUAAGUUCUGGAAAUAAUCUCAAGUUCUUUAUAGCACAUUUUGAUGAAUAAAGAUGGCAAUUAAGCUAAGUCACGCCAUUUUUGUUUCUAAAAAUAAAUUCCUAAGAAGUUUGUUGGAAUGAGUCUUUGGACUCAGAGCCUCUCCGAGCGACACUUCAAGGGAGGACAAUACUCAUGAGUACGUGUAACUCCCAGUGGAUUCGUUUUUAAAAAUCUGUUCUCUUGCCAUGCCUCGUAUGUGUUCACACCUCUGCAUACACUACAGAAGGAAGUGCAUAUUCAUUAGUAUAAACAUCCAGUAGGGAUUCUGUAAAACCGUGUUAUACUUAGGUGCAUGUUAUUGUCGUGUUAUGCUGUGACUGAGGUGUUCCUUUGCCGUGAAUCUUUGCUUCUUCACAGAAUUGCAGUACUGUUCUCUAUAUAAUGCAGUGCAUACGCAGCAUUUUCUUAUAUCAGCUCCUGAAGUUCUGAUGCCCAGUGUUGUGUUUACAUGUGAUUCUGCCUAGGAUUCUGUUCACACAUAGACAUCUGUAUUUAUUACUAAACAGAAUGCAAGCAAAUAUAUCCACAGUGGUUUUAUUUGAAUCGAGGCGUUUUUCCCUUUUGAGGAGGGACACGGAGCCACCUCCUCCAUGAGGCACUUACAGGAUCUGCGAAAAAUUCUGUGAAACAAGGGCGGGCGUGGGCACCUGCUUGCAGCCAAAACUCCCACAGCCGCUCCUUCACCUGCCCGUGGUGCCACUCUCUCCGCCCACUCCGUGUGUGUGCGUCGCUGUGCUUGGUGGCAGCGUGCAGUGUGCUCUGUCCUUCCCAGGCGCCCCUGGGAUCUGGGUGUAACAUUUUGGUGUCUCCGUGUUGCCGGUCUGUACUGAGGGGUGGUGUACAGAGCUGUACAGCCAGAUGGGUCUGUGUACAGAGUGGGGGGCAGUGCAAGAGCACACGUGUCCCCCACAGCAGAUAUUGAUGCCGUUGGUCAGCCAAAGAUUUCCUUAUUCUUUGCUGCUUAAACUUGUGCCUUAAUAUUGUAUAUAAUAAAUGGAUAAAAUGGCAAAAUG